UCCAGGUCCUGCUCUCUUGGACAGCAGGAUCCUGGAUGCCUGCGACGAGAAGCUGCUUUUCAUGAGUUUAUCCUGGGGACUCGAAUAAAUAAGCAGAGAAACAAAAAAACCUCAUGAAUUUUUUAAAGAGCUUAUUGGAAUCAGGAGAAAACCUGGUGUUCCGGGUGCAGAAUUUCCUGGAUCCGUUGGGGAUGGCUCUGCGGGUUGGGUUUAACCAUCUCCCUUGUCUUUUAUCCUGGGACCGGUGCUCACCUAAGACAUGCUCCUCUGAAGGCGGGGAACAGAAAUUUCAAGAGAGGCGAGUGAAAACUCAGGCCCCGCCUAAGGCUUGCGCUCAGAACUGGCCCACAGUUAUCUCAAAAUAUCCCAUCGGCCAAAGCAAGUCACACGGCCCAGCCCAAUAGCACAGGUGGAGAAAGGCGGAAGAAUUGUGUCACUCCCACAGCUGCCAGGAUUCCUAGCGUGGCUGCUGGCCAUAUGAUUCCACCACCUACCCAACAUUGCCUUCCGUAUUUCGCACAGAAGGCUGUCUCCAAUCACAGAGCAUCUCAGAGAUUGGGGACUGUCCAUAGGACACUGUAUGUUUUGUAUCAGUGGGGUUCUGACGAAGUAGUCCCUAGCUGAAUUUCCGGACCAAGAUUAAUUUGCUGCUGGAAUGUGAAGACAGCCACCCUCACACCCCCACCGCGGGUCCAGCAGGAGGGAAAAUAAGGAGACGGCCCCCGUGUUGGAUAAUGACCGCCCAAAUUCCAAUACUCAGGGCCCGACAUUGCCCGUUCAGUUUCCUCUGGCUGAAAUUCUUGGUUGUUCCGCUGCUAAAACCAGGGUGGCUAUUUACUCUGGGCACCAAUGGCUGUUCUUAGCCAUAUUGAUAAACAAGGCUUCCAAAAUCAUCUCAAUACCAGGAACAGUUCAUUUAAAACAACAGAAGCAGCAACACCACCAGUGACAAAAUCGACAGGUCAGUCCUGUGGUGUCCACCCUCACCCAGGGGAGCCUGGUGAUGAGUUGAGGAGUAUUUUUGGACACGGACAACAGCAGGCCUGGCCCAGAUCCACUCAUUCCUUCAGUAGAGCUUCCCAGGGAGUUCCAGUUAUUUCCCAAUUUGUUCCAGCCACAUCACCUUUUGUGGCUUCGUUUGGGCAUUGAGGUCAUCGAGAGAUGACUGACUUGGGCAAAGCAGAGAGUAGGGGGAGGAAAGAUUCUUCACUUACUCACCCACUCACUAAUUGCUGAGUGUCUUCAGGGUCCUGAGCUGGGGGUUCAAAGCUGAAGGAAGCAGAAGGUCCACUGUGCUGGCCGUUUGGCGCGGUAGAUCCUCCUUCCACGUAUCUUUUUUAGGGUAGGUGGUUGGCUUCCCAUCAGCCCCCGCGCGGCAGAUGAUUGGUUCAAGCUAAUCCCGGCCGUACGAUUCUCUUGCGGAUAAUUGGUUGAGGGGUUAGCAUGUGACCCAGUUCUGGCCAAUGAGAAGUGAGGGAGAAAUCUGUCCGUGGCCUUUGAGAAACUUUCCCUCACGACUAAGAAGGAGCUGGAGGAAGUGGGGGGGGGGGGGCGCUGCUCCCAGCGUUUGCAGUAUGUGCAGGUGUGACAGCCGCACUUUUGACAGCCAUCUUGCCACGUGCCGCAAGGACACAGAGAGACAGAGCAUGAGCAGGGGAGGAGCAGAGAGAGAG